rnacentral:rRNA from 1 species
UACGUAGGGGGCUAGCGUUGUCCGGAUUUAUUGGGCGUAAAGAGCGUGUAGGCGGCCAGGUAGGUCUGCUGUGAAACUCGAGGCUCAACCUCGAGACGUCGGCGGAAACCAUCUGGCUAGAGUCCGGAAGAGGAGAGUGGAAUUCCUGGUGUAGCGGUGAAAUGCGCAGAUAUCGGGAAGAACACCCGUGGCGAAGGCGGCUCUCUGGGACGGUACUGACGCUGAGACGCGAAAGCGUGGGGAGCGAACAGG